rnacentral:rRNA from 1 species
UGGGGAAUUUUGGACAAUGGGCGAAAGCCUGAUCCAGCAAUGCCGCGUGUGUGAAGAAGGCCUUCGGGUUGUAAAGCACUUUUGUCCGGAAAGAAAUCCUUGGCUCUAAUACAGUCGGGGGAUGACGGUACCGGAAGAAUAAGCACCGGCUAACUACGUGCCAGCAGCCGCGGUAAUACGUAGGGUGCAAGCGUUAAUCGGAAUUACUGGGCGUAAAGCGUGCGCAGGCGGUUUGCUAAGACCGAUGUGAAAUCCCCGGGCUCAACCUGGGAACUGCAUUGGUGACUGGCAGGCUAGAGUAUGGCAGAGGGGGGUAGAAUUCCACGUGUAGCAGUGAAAUGCGUAGAGAUGUGGAGGAAUACCGAUGGCGAAGGCAGCCCCCUGGGCCAAUACUGACGCUCAUGCACGAAAGCGUGGGGAGCAAACAGGAUUAGAUACCCUGGUAGUCCACGCCCUAAAACGAUGUCAACUAGUUGUUGGGGAUUCAUUUCCUUAGUAACGUAGCUAACGCGUGAAGUUGACCGCCUGGGGAGUACGGUCGCAAGAUUAAAACUCAAAGGAAUUGACGGGGU